UAUUACUUACAUAAUAACAUCCAAACGACUUUUCCUUAAAAAUCCAGCCUUCAGGACACGGUUGAAAUCCAUUUCUAUACCAGAUGUAUUUCGAUAUAGCUGCAGAAUUGGUAGAAUUAUCAUUCGUUGAACAGUUGUUAUAAGAAAAACCCGCGUCAUCACAAUUGUUCGGAAAGUGUCCAAAAUAGUGAUACAGCGUCCAUCCAAUUAAUGUUAAUAAUAGGAAUAAGAGGGAGGCCGACAACACUUUCCAUCGGAACAGUUUUCGAUCUUUUGUGAUUUUUUCUACCGUUUGAGUGGUAUCACAGUCCAUUUCUUCUGUGUUUUCUCUCCAGGCCUUAGUAGUGUCCAUUACAUUUGUCUUCGCUGAAUUUUCUUUCUUCUCCUGUUUCUUCAUAUUAGCAUCUGACCCACUUGGAUAUAUGACGUCAUAAUCAUUGGAAAUGUUCCGAUUAAGCAAAGUAAUUCCUUUACACUCAUCUGAGUGAGACACAGAACUCAUAUCUGUUGUCUCCGUUAGUAAGCUGACAAAAAUAUAAUUGAUAUAAAGAAAUUGUGCACUAUGUCAUUUAAAC
rnacentral:lncRNA from 1 species